AAACUUACCCAGGACCCAGAUGUUUUUUUAUGACUGACCAGGGCUUCGGUUCUUUCAGGAUAUUGUUUUUGGUGGUGCAUGGCCGUUGGUGGUGCGUGGGUUGACCUGUCUAGCGUUGAUUCAGCUAACGAGCGAGAUUAUCGCCAAUUAUUUAUUUUGCCGAAGUCCUUCGGUUAAAGUUCUAAUUGGGACUCCCUGCGAUUUUAGCAGGUGGAAGAGGGUAGCAAUAACAGGUCCGUGAUGCCCUUUAGAUGCUCUGGGCUGCACGCGUGCUACAAUGUUAGGAUCAAUAGGACUGCGAGCCUGAGAGGGUGCGCUACUCUUAUAAUCCCUAACGUAGUUGGGAUUGACGUUUGUAAUCAGCGUCAUGAACCAGGAAUCCCUUGUAAAUGUGUGUCAACAACGCACGUUGAAUACGUCCCUGCCCUUUGUACACACCGCCCGUCGCUCCUACCGAUUGGAUGACUCGGUGAAAUCACCGGAUGCUUACGAGCAGAAAGUGAUUAAAUCACGUUAUCUAGAGGAAGGAGAAGUCGUAACAAGGUAACGGUAGGUGAACCUGCCGUUGGAUCAGUU
rnacentral:ncRNA from 1 species